rnacentral:tRNA from 1 species
CGAGCUGCUGGCCAAGCGGGGCGGGGCCUUCUACAGCGAGGCCGCCGUGGACCUCGCCGCGUCGCUGCUCGGCGGUGGCGGCAGCCCGU